CGCCGCGCGCGGGGCACGACGGGAACCGCCCUCAGCCGGGACCCGCCAUUUUCUGCCGGGAAAGGCGGGAAGGGGGAGAUCGAAGCCGCCGCAGCUGCACCGCGGGACCCGCACGGCUCCAGCGCCGCCGCCAGCGCCGCUCGCAGGCUGUGACGGCCCGGGAUGGCCCGCACCAAGCAGACGGCUCGGAAAUCCACCGGCGGCAAGGCGCCGCGCAAGCAGCUGGCCACCAAGGCGGCCCGGAAGAGCGCGCCGUCCACGGGGGGCGUCAAGAAACCGCAUCGCUACCGCCCCGGCACGGUGGCGCUGCGCGAGAUCCGGCGCUACCAGAAAUCCACGGAGCUGCUGA